rnacentral:tRNA from 1 species
GAGGGUAUAGCUCAAGUGGUAGAGCACAGGCUUAGCAUGCAUGAGGUCCUGGGUUCAAUUCCCCAGUACCUCCG